UCUCAAACAAAAACAAAUUGAUCAUACAACUGCUAUGAAUACAUUCGACUCGUUUGCUUCCAUCAAUCGCAGUAACCUCCAACCCCUGUUGGCAAUGCCGGGGGACAGCAUCAACCAGCAGAAGCAGCAGAAUUUGACCAUGGUAUGGUAUUGCGAAGAACUUUCCCCAUUAGAGGUUCCGUGCUUCGCGCACAUUCAAAAAUCCUCUUCAGACACGAAAACUCAACGACAAGGAGGUAUUUAUCAACUUGCUCAGCUGAAUUACCACCCGGAGGAACCCGAAUGCACUGAUUCCGUUGUAUAGUAGAAUGAAAAUAGGCGAGGUAAGCGAACGUAAUCGCAUGAUAUUUUAAUGUUCGCAUUUUUAUCCGGAUCAUACAACUGCUAUGAAUACAUCCGACUCAAUCAAUCGGCGAGUGAGAAAGAUGAUUUCCCUCAUCACCACAUUGCUUAUUUCCACUUCUGUCACGCCAGCCAACAGCAUCAGCUUUCCCGCAGCAGUAUCCUUUAAGUCCAGGGUGCUAUUCCGGGGAACAGCAUCAACAUUAACAGCAGCAGGACCUGGCCAUCGAUAGUAUUUCGAGCAAUUUUCCCCAUCGGAGAUCCCGUGCUUCACGCACAUUGAAGAAUCCUCCUCAGCCACAUAUCUGUGUCAUCAAGGGCAAGGAGGUAUUCAUCAAUGUACUCAGUCGGAUUUGAAUCGUCAAUCCAGACAACCCGGAUGCACCGAUUCCAUUAUAUAUCUUAUUUUUAUUAUACAUAGAUUUUUAUUAUUUUUUUUCAAUAAAAUGAUUAAAAUCGAUCAA